rnacentral:rRNA from 1 species
AUUGAACGCUGGCGGCAUGCUUUACACAUGCAAGUCGAACGGUAACAGGCCGCAAGGUGCUGACGAGUGGCGAACGGGUGAGUAAUGCAUCGGAACGUGCCCAGUCGUGGGGGAUAACGCAGCGAAAGCUGUGCUAAUACCGCAUACGAUCUGUGGAUGAAAGCGGGGGACCGAAAGGCCUCGCGCGAUUGGAGCGGCCGAUGUCAGAUUAGGUAGUUGGUGGGGUAAAGGCUAACCAAGCCAACGAUCUGUAGCUGGUCUGAGAGGACGACCAGCCACACUGGGACUGAGACACGGCCCAGACUCCUACGGGAGGCAGCAGUGGGGAAUUUUGGACAAUGGGCGCAAGCCUGAUCCAGCAAUGCCGCGUGCAGGAAGAAGGCCUUCGGGUUGUAAACUGCUUUUGUACGGAGCGAAAAGGCUCUCUCUAAUACAGGGGGCUCAUGACGGUACCGUAAGAAUAAGCACCGGCUAACUACGUGCCAGCCGCCGCCGUAAAAC